UUACUGCUGGUUGAUGGGUUGCUGUGAUUGGUGUAGGAGGAGCAGCUGCAGUUUCACGAGGGAAGCGGAAGCAGAUGAGUAUGGAGGUGGAGGAACACAGGAAGAGUCCGCCCUCACCUCUCCCAAGAGCAGAGAGUGGGAGGAGUACCGAAUCAAAGAGCACUACCUCAUAUAUGAGAAGAGUCGGUACGAGACGUAUAUCAACCUGCUCCAGGCCAAGAUGAGGGCAGAGACAGACGACCUGGAGAAGAUAGAGGCUAGYGUGAUGAGCGGGAUYGGGGAGGGCMGAGGGGGGYGCGAGGGAUACCUCCGGAAGACCCAGUCCUCUCCUUCCAUCAGCCAGCACRRUSUCAAYGGCAGGGCCUCUGGACGCACUGCCCCGGGCCAGCGGAGUUGAGAGGAGACCCCCCCCCCUUAAAAACGUCAUCAUGCACCCCCGUGUAACUGUCCUCUGAGCCAAAGGGCUCACCCCCUUAAAUGCCUAAGCACUGGACUCAUAUCCAACCAACUCCCCAAAUCCUCCCUCCUUCCUAUUUCAUUGCCCAGUAAAGUGGUAAUAAUUGAGAGAGGACUUACCUGCAUAAAGGAAGUGACAUCAUAAGGAAGGGUGGAGUGUUUUAGUUUGAGGAGGUGGAUUUCAGGGUGGAGGGGCACAGUAGCAUCAAGUAGUCUCUCUCACCUGAGCUUUCAACAGGUUUCUCUGGACCAUAUAGAGCAUGGAGACUCAGUGUAUCUGAACAGGCCUACUGAGCAGGCCUAUGUAACACACCUACAGUAUGAGAGCCUUAUGAUGAUGAACAACACUUACUCAGACUCUCAGAACUGUUAUGAUGAUCAACUCCUUGCUGUGUAGACUAUUUAUUAUUAAUACGUAUUUAUUUAUUGUAGAUUUCUUAUUCCACUUGAACCUGAGCUUCAUAUAUGAUAACAGACUGAAUGAAAGCACUGUGCCAUGAUGUAUAACCCUUAGUUCUAUGUUACUGUCUGGACACUUGUAUUGCUGUCACGCUGAGUGGAAGCUGGGAUGGAGGAAUUUGACUGACUAUUAGGAGUAACGGUUGAAGGAAAAAAGUGAGAUGUCUUGUUGAAUUGAACAUUUUGAUUAAAUAGUGUGUGUGUGUGUGCAUGCGUGCGUGCGCGCGCGUGUGUGCGCGUGCGUGCGCGCGUGCGUGUGUGUGCGUGCGUGUGUGCGUGCGCGUGCGUGCGUGCGUGUGUGUGUGCGUGCGUGUGUGUGUGUGUUUGAGGUUGAGCGAUGGCCAGGGUUCAGGGUUAAGGGAAGCAGAUCUAACGUUAAAGGAUCUGUUUCUUUGUUGUUAUUCUUUGAUGCAGAAGAAGAGAAGACGUCUCUCCCUGAGUUGGAACUAGCUCAUCUUCCUAUCAUAUCAUCAACAGAGUGCAGAUAAAACAAUAAAAGACUGAAAGACAAAGCAGCAGGACUGCACAGGCUGAGCACCAGAGGAAGUGGAUGAAGUGGUGAGCAGCAGAGGAAGUAGCAGAAGUGGUGAGCACCAGAGGAAGUAGAUGAAGUGGUGAGCAGCAGAGGAAGUAGCAGAAGUGGUGAGCACCAGAGGAAGUAGAUGAAGUGGUGAGCACCAGAGGAAGUAGCAGAAGUGGUGAGCACCAGAGGGAAGUAGAUGAAGUGGUGAGCACCAGAGGAAGUAGAUGAAGUGGUGAGCACCAGAGGAAGUAGAUGAAGUGGUGAGCACCAGAGGAAGUAGAGAAGUGGUGAGCCAGAGGAAGUAGAUGAAGUGGUGAGCACCAGAGGAAGUAGAUGAAGUGGUGAGCACCAGAAGAAGUAGAUGAAGUGGUGAGCACCAGAGGAAGUAGAUAGUGGUGAGCACCAGAGGAAGUAGAUGAAGUGGUGAGCACCAGAGGAAGUAGAUAAGUGGUGAGCACCAAAGAGGAAGUAGAUGAAGUGGUGAGCACCAGAGGAAGUAGAUGAAGUGGUGAGCACCAGAGGAAGUAGCAGAAGUAGUGAGCACCAGAGGAAGUAGAUGAAGUGGUGAGCACCAGAGGAAGUAGAUGAAGUGGUGAGCACCAGAGGAAGUAGAUGAAGUGGUGAGCACCAGAGGAAGUAGAUGAAGUGAUUAGUAGCAGAGGAAGUAGAGAAAGUGGUAAGCAGAAGAGGAAGUUUAUGAAGUGAUUAGCAGCAGAGGAAGUAGAGAAAGUGGUGAGCAGAAGAGGAAGUUUAUGAUGUGAUUAGCAGCAGAGGAAGUAGAGAAAGUGGUGAGCAGAAGAGGAAGUAGAGAAAGUGAUUAGCAGAAGAAGUAGAGAAAGUGGUGAGCAGAAGAGGAAGUUUAUGAAGUGAUUAGCAGCAGAGGAAGUAGAGAAAGUGAUUAGCAGCAGAAGAAGUAGAGAAAGUGGUGAGCAGAAGAGGAAGUAGAGAAAGUGAUUAGCAGUAGAGGAAGUAGAGAAAGUGGUGAGCAGAAGAGGUAGAGGAAGUGGUGAACAGAACACAGCGUUACUCGUGUGUAGAAUCAUAUUCAUAUCGGAGACCAGAGAGGAGAGUAACCCAGCUCUCUCGGAACCAUGGAAAGAGGAAAGCUGGAGGGAGGAAGGAAGGCAGUGGUUCUGCUGGACUACAUUAUUCUUCAUUGAACAUUGAAACUCAUUCCCUUCUCUUUCUCCCUUCCCCCUCUCCUGACUGGACUUCAGAUGGGAUAGCGUCCCUAAUUCUUAUUAUCUCUUUCUCGACACUAAAGCGGUACGGAAUAUUUGCACGGUCAGACCAGACACAGGGGCUAUAUAUAUCCUGUGUUUUUCUAUUCCAGAGUGAUGAGACUGGAUCAUUGAUCCUUAGCUCUGUUUACUGAAGUGGAAUUCAGAAUCAGAACUCCCAUUUUAUACCUUAUUGGUUAUGUCUUUCUUACUCUGAGGACCGACCUUGUCACUUUGGCUGUUGUGCUAACUAACCAUUGUUUUCCCUAUGUUUUAGGGCAGAGCAGUGCUAUUGUAAUAUAGAAAUGUGAGAAGGUUUUUUACUUUGCUGAUCCUGUCUUAAAUAUUAGUAUGUGUUUUUUGUUUUUUUAACUAAUGAAGCUAGGGCACUUUGUUGUAAAAAAUGGAAAUGUUAUAUAGUUGUUCUGUUUGUUUAGGGCAGUUUAAAGUGAAAUGCAUCUUUACUAGUUAUUAUUGUCAGGGCUUCAUAAAGUCAUCUUUUAUAUAUAAUAGAAAUUGGUGGUGAUGUUUUUAUUAUAAAUUCUUUAUCUAGAGAUAUUGCCUCAGCACUAUGUUUCUACAAGAGAAAUGUAAUGCAGGCAAGGAAAUAAUGUGGAAAAUGUGUCUUUCAGUUUGAGUUAAAGAACAUUGUUG
rnacentral:lncRNA from 1 species